AAGCAUGCAAUGGACUGCCAUCAUUAGGUUUGAGCACUCCUCUGAUAAAUCCAUUCCCAGCAGCCGCUAUAACCAAAGGCCCAGUGAAUUGACAUCUGAAUUGCGACCGGAACUGUCUGAUAAAAAGUGUUUUUAGACAUGAACUAGUGGGAAUCUGACACCUAUUAUGCGCGACUUUUGCACUGGCAAGUGCAUGUCUAUAUGCUGAUCUUACGUCUACACAUUAAAACAUAAUUUUGGGUUUGUACAUUCACAAUAUGUUACUUUCUGAAAUGAACCAAAAUACUCUUGUGUGGAUACCUGUACAUGGCAGAUGAUUCUGUUAUGUCUUAAUUCUUUAUUGCUUCCUAAAUUUGAAAACAGCAUUAUAUUUCUUAAAUAUGAGAUGAGAAUCUAGGGACCCAUGUUGUCGUACAUUAUAUUUCUUAAUCUGCUAGGAGCUGGAAGAUGUAUGUGAUGCAGCACCAGUUGUCGUGGGUUUCAACUGGAUUGAGUUAAUAGGUAAAUGAUGGAAGCAACAAACUUUCACCCAUCUCCUUGGAUGGACAAGAUCUGUGUUUGCAGUUCCAUUGGACAGCAAAAGUUGACAAUUUCACCAUUUUCAAGUUUCAUGGCGAUGAGCAAGUAGGUGCCAUCAUGGGGCAUUAAACGUGUAGCAGUUGGUAGAAGAGUGAUAAUAAAAGAGCUUCUUAGACCCAUUUGUGUGGUUGGAUACAUAUAAAUACACAUGAAUCUGUUUAUCUGUUUACCUCUCAAAUUUUUAGAUGAAUAUGAUUUACAUGGACCCAAAUAGAUGAAUAUGGAUUCUAUCGAAUAUAGUAAAAUUUUCUCGCAUGCACAAGUAGCUGAAUUGCAUUAAAGAAUCCUCCCUUUCAUACUCUCUUCAUGUCACUUCAAUCAUAAAUAGGAUCACAUGAUAAAGCUGAGCUGGGUGAGUUCUUUCAUUUUCUUUUCUUUUUCUUUGUUCAGUGAAGCCAUUCAAAGCAGAGACAACUAUCUCCUCAUAAGUCUCAAACAACAUAACUUGUGUAAAAGUCUUUUUUUUUUUAAAGUAUGCUUAUGGCAUACCAAAUUUAGAAAUAUGAAGUUGUAAUGUCACUCAUCUAAUUUAAUUUGUUUCGAUAAUUAAAUAUAUUUGCUGGUUUCGAGUUGACGUACCUAUUAUCCUUUAGAAAAAAAAAUUAGCAUCUUGAUUAUGGAUAAUCCCCUGGGCAUCCGUUAACUGGAUAGAAAUUUGUUGCGCCUUAUUGGGCUUUGUUCUGUAAAUGGCCCACCACAUUUUGCUCAACCCACACUAUGUUUCCCAGAUUCCCGCACGAUUCAGGAAACUGCUGUCGCGGACUCGCAGGCAUAUUUCCCACGCUUUAUCAUCAACCAAACACCCACAUCCAAACUUAUCAUCUAUAAGCAGAAACCAGCUCAGAAUCAGUGAUUGUCGCAAACCAUGAAUUACAGAAGGGAUAUCCGCAAUUCAAGCUCAGCUAUAUUUGAUGAUGGCCUUGAAGAAGGUGGCCUUAGGGCCUCUUCUUCAUAUUCCCAUGAUAUUAAUGAUCACGACAAUGAUAAAGACAUGGACUGUUUGCAAGACAGAGUUAUUUUCCUGAAGAGAUUAACAGGUGACAUACAUGAGGAAGUGAAGAAUCAUAAUCAUUUGCUUGAUCGAAUGGAUCUUUCGACGAAGCAGAUUAUUGAUAGAGGGAGUGAGUUAGAGGGUCUUUACGUCUUGGAUCAGCAACUACCUCGAUCUCCUCGAUCUCUGGGAAACAAUAUGGACGUAUCAAGGGGUAUAAUGUCAGGAACCAUGGAUCGAUUCAAAAUGGUAUUUGAGAAGAAAUCAGGUCGAAGGACAUGCAUACUUGCUGGGGUUCUCAUUGUUUCCUUUUUAACUAUAUAUUACCUUAUUAGGUUAAGAUCCUCCUUAUGGUUUUGAAUAGAAGUGAUUAUACCCAGUUCUUAUAAUAUUUUAUCUUCAAGGCAACAAUGGAUCCUAAGAUACGUCCGAGCGUAAAGUAGCUUGCGGGAAUUUCUUCUCUUGAAUCUGCAAUUAGGUUAAUUAAAGUUGUGCCAUGCACAGCUUGCAAUCAACUAAUCCAGGGGCUACAGAUGACUUGAUCUUGUUGUUGAGAAGAUGAGAAGGUUGCUUCGCUGCAUAUAUGCUGUGAAUCACAUCUGAGUGAAGGUAGGCUGGAAGCAGGCCUGAGCAAAUUCUAACAAGUAAACUUGGUUGGAUAUCAUGCAGUCCUUCACAAUCCACUUCCCUCCUCUCAUCCUCUAAGCCUAUCAUAUUUCUCUGAUUGCAAUUUUGGACUUGGUUUCUGUUUUAUUUAGUUUGCUGGAGGGAAUUGGGUCUAGCGGAAGAUGGAGAAAAUGCCAGUGCUUGCCGAGCAAUUUAAGUAGCAUUGCUUUGUAGUUUUCCAAAGCUUUACAUUAAUAUCCAUUUAGUGGAAAAUUGAUAAUGAAAUCUCUAUAUUUCAUCUAUGUAAUGAUACUGCGAUAUUAGCUGUAUGUUUUCUUCUUAAUUAUUCUAAACUCAA